AAGGCGGCGUUAUUGUACUGAGUGACACAAGUGUCCGUGCCUGCAACAAAUUUGAUGACAGGUAGACAACCAAUUGGGGGAAGGCCGACCACUGCAAAUUUUCUUAUCCCGAGCCUAUGAAUUUCCUUGGUAUAGUUCGAAAAUUGGGAGACCAAGUACCCUGUGUAUUGUAUCAUGGAAAAUUGUUUAGCUCUGUCGGGG
rnacentral:misc_RNA from 1 species